rnacentral:rRNA from 1 species
AACGAGCGCUGGCGGCAGGCCUAACACAUGCAAGUCGAGCGCGCCCUUCGGGGUGAGCGGCGGACGGGUGAGUAACGCGUGGGAACGUGCCCUUUUCUACGGAAUAGCCUCGGGAAACUGAGAGUAAUACCGUAUACGCCCUUUGGGGGAAAGAUUUAUCGGAAAAGGAUCGGCCCGCGUUGGAUUAGGUAGUUGGUGGGGUAAUGGCCUACCAAGCCGACGAUCCAUAGCUGGUUUGAGAGGAUGAUCAGCCACACUGGGACUGAGACACGGCCCAGACUCCUACGGGAGGCAGCAGUGGGGAAUCUUAGACAAUGGGGGCAACCCUGAUCUAGCCAUGCCGCGUGAGUGAUGAAGGCCUUAGGGUUGUAAAGCUCUUUCAGCUGGGAAGAUAAUGACGGUACCAGCAGAAGAAGCCCCGGCUAACUCCGUG